rnacentral:rRNA from 1 species
GACGAACCGUGCGAACGUUGUUCGGAAUCACUGGGCUUAAAGGGCGCGUAGGCGGGCGGUCAAGUCAGAGGUGAAAUCCCACGGCUCAACCGUGGAAGUGCCCCUGAUACUGAUCGACUCGAGGGAGGUAGGGGCGUGCGGAACUUCCGGUGGAGCGGUGAAAUGCGUAGAUAUCGGAAGGAACACCGAUGGCGAAAGCAGCGCGCUGGACCUUUACUGACGCUGAGGCGCGAAAGCCAGGGGAGCAAACGGG